CGGCGGACGGGUGAGUAACGCGUGGGGAACCUGCCCUAUACAGGGGGAUAACAGUUAGAAAUGACUGCUAAUACCGCAUAAGCGCACGGAGCCGCAUGGCCCUGAGUGAAAAACGAUAGUGGUAUAGGAGGGACCCGCGUCUGAUUAGGUAGUUGGUGGGGUAACGGCCCACCAAGCCGACGAUCAGUAGCCGACCUGAGAGGGUGACCGGCCACAUUGGGACUGAGACACGGCCCAAACUCCUACGGGAGGCAGCAG
rnacentral:rRNA from 1 species